rnacentral:rRNA from 1 species
UACGUAGGGUGCAAGCGUUAAUCGGAAUUACUGGGCGUAAAGAGCUCGUAGGCGGUUUGUCGCGUCGGCCGUGAAAACUUGGGGCUUAACUCCAAGCUUGCGGUCGAUACGGGCAGACUUGAGUUCGGCAGGGGAGACUGGAAUUCCUGGUGUAGCGGUGAAAUGCGCAGAUAUCAGGAGGAACACCGGUGGCGAAGGCGGGUCUCUGGGCCGAUACUGACGCUGAGGAGCGAAAGCGUGGGGAGCGAACAGG